rnacentral:rRNA from 1 species
AAGGAACUCGGCAAAAUGACCCCGUAACUUCGGGAGAAGGGGUGCUCUUUAGGGUUCACGCCCAGAAGAGCCGCAGUGAAUAGGCCCAAGCGACUGUUUAUCAAAAACACAGGUCUCUGCUAAACCGUAAGGUGAUGUAUAGGGGCUGACGCCUGCCCGGUGCUGGAAGGUUAAGAGGAGUGGUUAGCUUCUGCGAAGCUACGAAUCGAAGCCCCAGUAAACGGCGGCCGUAACUAUAACGGUCCUAAGGUAG